GCGCAGACUUACAGCCUUGACAUGGGGUGUGAGGGUCCGGAACGGGCCUUUGCCGUUGGGCAACCCCUGCACAGGUGCUGCAUGGCUGUCGUCAGCUCGUGUCGGGAGAUGUUGGGUUAAGUCCCGCAACGAGCGCAACCCUCGCCUUCAGUUGCCAUCGGGUAAGGGGGGGCUCUCUGGAAGAACCGCCCGUGAAAACCCGGAAAAAGGUGGGGAAAACCUCAAGUCCUCGUGGCCCUUAUGGGGUGGGCUACACACGUGCUAAAAUGGGGAUGAAAGAGGGAAUCCAGGCCGCGAGGCCAAGCCAAUCUCCAAAACUCCUCUCAGUUCAGAUUGCACUCUGCAACUCCAGUGCAUGAAGGUGGAAUCGCUAGUAAUCGCGGAUCCCGGGCAGCGGUGAAUACUUUCCCGGACCA
rnacentral:rRNA from 1 species